AACCAAUACUGAGGACAUUUUCAUAGGGGAUCCUUAAACCUAUCCCAUGUCUCAAAAAGAGACUCCGAUUCCGUUUGCACAAAACAGGAUCUUUCAUUCCUGAACUU